GAUGAACGCUGGCGGCGUGCCUAAUACAUGCAAGUCGAGCGAACGAACGAGAAGCUUGCUUCUCUGACGUUAGCGGCGGACGGGUGAGUAACACGUGGAUAACCUACCUAUAAGACUGGGAUAACUUCGGGAAACCGGAGCUAAUACCGGAUAAUAUUUUGAACCGCAUGGUUCAAAAGUGAAAGACGGUCUUGCUGUCACUUAUAGAUGGAUCCGCGCUGCAUUAGCUAGUUGGUAAGGUAACGGCUUACCAAGGCAACGAUGCAUAGCCGACCUGAGAGGGUGAUCGGCCACACUGGAACUGAGACACGGUCCAGACUCCUACGGGAGGCAGCAGUAGGGAAUCUUCCGCAAUGGGCGAAAGCCUGACGGAGCAACGCCGCGUGAGUGAUGAAGGUCUUCGGAUCGUAAAACUCUGUUAUUAGGGAAGAACAUAUGUGUAAGUAACUGUGCACAUCUUGACGGUACCUAAUCAGAAAGCCACGGCUAACUACGUG
rnacentral:rRNA from 1 species